rnacentral:rRNA from 1 species
ACUCCUACGGGAGGCAGCAGUGGGGAAUUUUGGACAAUGGGCGAAAGCCUGAUCCAGCAAUGCCGCGUGAGUGAAGAAGGCCUUCGGGUUGUAAAGCUCUUUUGUCAGGGAAGAAACGGUGAGAGCUAAUAUCUUUUGCUAAUGACGGUACCUGAAGAAUAAGCACCGGCUAACUACGUGCCAGCAGCCGCGGUAAUACGUAGGGUGCAAGCGUUAAUCGGAAUUACUGGGCGUAAAGCGUGCGCAGGCGGUUUUGUAAGUCUGAUGUGAAAUCCCCGGGCUCAACCUGGGAAUUGCAUUGGAGACUGCAAGGCUAGAAUCUGGCAGAGGGGGGUAGAAUUCCACGUGUAGCAGUGAAAUGCGUAGAUAUGUGGAGGAACACCGAUGGCGAAGGCAGCCCCCUGGGUCAAGAUUGACGCUCAUGCACGAAAGCGUGGGGAGCAAACAGGAUUAGAAACCCGGGUAGUCCCA